rnacentral:rRNA from 1 species
UGUCUCAAAGAUUAAGCCAUGCAUGUCUAAGUAUAAGCAAUCUAUACGGUGAAACUGCGAAUGGCUCAUUAAAUCAGUUAUCGUUUAUUUGAUAGUACCUUACUACAUGGAUAACCGUGGUAAUUCUAGAGCUAAUACAUGCUAAAAACCUCCGACUUCGGGAGGGGUGUAUUUAUUAGAUAAAAAACCAACGCCCUUCGGGGCUCCUUGGUGAUUCAUGAUAACUUAACGAAUCGCAUGGCCUUGCGCCGGCGAUGGUUCAUUCAAAUUUCUGCCCUAUCAACUUUCGAUGGUAGGAUAGUGGCCUACCAUGGUAUCAACGGGUAACGGGGAAUUAGGGUUCGAUUCCGGAGAGGGAGCCUGAGAAACGGCUACCACAUCCAAGGAAGGCAGCAGGCGCGCAAAUUACCCAAUCCCGACACGGGGAGGUAGUGACAAUAAAUACUGAUACAGGGCUCUUUUGGGUCUUGUAAUUGGAAUGAGUACAAUUUAAAUCCCUUAACGAGGAACAAUUGGAGGGCAAGUCUGGUGCCAGCAGCCGCGGUAAUUCCAGCUCCAAUAGCGUAUAUUAAAGUUGUUGCAGUUAAAAAGCUCGUAGUUGAACCUCGGGCCUGGCUGGCCGGUCCGCCUCACCGCGUGCACUGGUCCGGCCGGGCCUUUCCUCCUGGGGAUCCGCAUGCCCUUCACUGGGUGUGCCGGGGAACCAGGACUUUUACUUUGAAAAAAUUAGAGUGUUCAAAGCAG